ensembl:snRNA U6 U6 spliceosomal RNA
GCUCCCUUUGGCAGCGCAUAUACUAAAAUUGGAAUGGUACAGAGAAGAUUAGCAUGGCUCCAGCGCAAGGAUGACCCACAAAUUCAUGAAACGUUCCGUAUUUUU